GGAGCUUUCCCAUAUGGUCGACUGCAGGCGGCCCGCGAAUUCACUAGUGAUUAGAGUUUGAUCAUGGCUCAGGAUGAACGCUAGCGGCAGGCCUAACACAUGCAAGUCGAGGGGUAACAGGGAUUGCUUGCAAUCCGCUGACGACCGGCGCACGGGUGCGUAACGCGUAUGCAACCUACCUUUUACAGGGGUAUAGUCAAGAGAAAUUUUGAAUAACACCCCAUACGAUCAUCCUUACACCUGUAAAGAUGAAGAAAACUCCGGUGGUAAAAGAUGGGCAUGCGUCCUAUUAGUUAGUUGGUGAGGUAACGGCUCACCAAGACUGCGAUAGGUAGGGGUCCUGAGAGGGAGAUCCCCCACACUGGUACUGAGACACGGACCAGACUCCUACGGGAGGCAGCAGUGAGGAAUAUUGGACAAUGGAGGCAACUCUGAUCCAGCCAUGCCGCGUGCAGGAAGACUGCCCUAUGGGUUGUAAACUGCUUUUAUACAGGAAGAAACCUUGGUACGUGUACUAAGCUGACGGUACUGUAAGAAUAAGGAUCGGCUAACUCCGUGCCAGCAGCCGCGGUAAUACGGAGGAUCCAAGCGUUAUCCGGAAUCAUUGGGUUUAAAGGGUCCGCAGGCGGUUUUUUAAGUCAGAGGUGAAAUCCUAUCGCUCAACGAUAGAACUGCCUUUGAUACUGAAAGACUUGAGUUAUUGUGAAGUGGUUAGAAUAUGUAGUGUGGCGGUGAAAUGCAUAGAUAUUACAUAGAAUACCGAUUGCGAAGGCAGAUCACUAACAAUACACUGACGCUGAGGGACGAAAGCGUGGGUAGCGAACAGGAUUAGAUACCCUGGUAGUCCACGCCGUAAACGAUGGAUACUAGCUGUUUGACCAACAUUGGUUGGUUGAGUGGCUAAGCGAAAGUGAUAA
rnacentral:rRNA from 1 species